UAGUGAGAGUGUGUCCAAUUCAAUUAAGGUGCUUUCCCAGUUCUGUUGCCAUUCUGUAAUGAGUUGUCUGAUGUAGGCUUGGGGUUGAAAAACUUUGCAACUGCUUGAUACAGAUUUUCUUCCUCAAAAGGCUUUGUUACGUAACCAUCCAUUCCACAUUCCACACACUUCUCGUACGUUGCUUGAAUUACAUCUGCUGUCAUGGCCAAUAUAGGUAAAUGGUACUCCUUUUUCCAGCCAUUUCCUUCACCACAUUCACCAUUCAUCAGAAGCUCAUUUGCCUUUCUCUCCAUUUCCCGAAUUUUCCCAGUUGCUUGAAACCUGCAAAUAAUUUGAUGAUAUAAAUAUUUAGAUGCUUCAUCAAAUCCUUCUCAAUAUCAAGAGUUGGUGAUGGAAGAUUCAAUAACAAGUUUCAUCACAUGCUACACAAAAGUUAAGUCUCCACGCUUGGCUUAUGAGAAUUACCCCACUUAUAUAUACUAUAAGAUUUGAAUUUUUCUUAAUAAAUCUCCUACGUCUAGUAUUAUUGAGUUGAGUUUGGUACCUAAAUCUCAUACCAUAUCAAAACCUGGCUCAUGUUAUGCAUCUUUUUUAUAACUUAAACUCAACCCUGAAUAUAGAUCGUGCUUGAUGGUAUACUGGAUCAAGAUAUGAUACUCUUCGGCAUGUGUAUAAGAUAUGAUAGUCAGUCAGUCAAGAUGCCUCAACUAGAAAAGUUGAAUGCAUAUAAAUCGUAAAAAAGAUUUCAUGUUAAUGCAGCAGCUAUCAUGUUAACACUUUUAAUUGGUUAGUGUCUGAUAAAAGAAAAUGUACACAAUCUAGUUUAGGUUAUCUGCUCAUAAUACAACAAAAAAUAUCAAAAUAGUAUCAUACAACAUAUGCUGCAUGACUAUAAGCAGAUUUAAUUCUCAGUCAGUCCAUGUAUUUAACACAACCCUUUUUAUUUAAGAUCCUACGAAAUAGAAGUUUAUGUUUCAGUCUAUACAAGAACAACUUUCUUUUUUAAUAUUAGGGUCUUUACACUUGCCAAAUGUGUUGCUUUAGUCCCUAUACCAAGAAACUGUGUUUUAGUCUUCACAGAAACAUUUUUUGUUCUAACUGUAGUUCAGUUGUCUAGUAUCUUGCUUAACUAUAAUUGUUUUAACACUGCUACGAAAUUAAAACCGAUGAUGUAAAAGCACUAUAUUUUUUGGCCCCUGAGUAUACAUUAUAUGUAACUAUAAGGGAAAUGAUAAGAAACGUACCCGUCCAUUUCUGGCAUUUGAAUAUCCAUGAAGCAAGCAUCAAAAUUGUGAGGCAAUUGAAGCAUUUCAAGAGCAAUUUUGCCACUUUCUGCACAUGUUACAUGAGCUCCAAAAUUUUGUAAUGCACCUGCUGCGACCCUUCUAUUUACCCUAUUGUCAUCAACCACAAGUAUUUUUUUCCCACAAAGAAGGCUUCGUGCAAAAGAUGAACCCGUGUCCUUUCCUAGCUGUCUCUUCUUCCCCGUUCCCAGAACUUGUUGAAGACAUGCAGCCACCAUGCUGGCUCUCAGAGGCUUCAUGAUCACUGUAUCACUGAAACCUGCUGCUUUAGCUUUAUCAAAUUCAGUGUUAGUAAUGUUGGUUGCAAGAAGGAUCAUUUGAGGUAUCUUAAACAUGUGCCCGUUCUGUUUCCAGUCCAGUUGCCACACGUUGAAGAUCCCAUCCUCUCCACAAAUCCACGAGUCUUUCUCAACAAAAAUCAUAUCAGGCUGAAAUAUUCUGCCAUAUACAACCAGUUUACGCAGUGAAUGAACUGAACAACAUCAAUAUCUUAAACAAAACUGCAAUCUAGCUAGAACAACAUUUAUUGACUAGAGAAAACCACAUCACUAUCUUUGAGUAAUUAAAGAAAACCAGUCCAUGCAGUUUCUUAUUUUCUUUAUGAAAUUAGAGCUUAAAACAACACAGAACAAGUGCAUGUGAAACUUGAAAUAGAAUGUUUGAAAUGUUAAAAUUCACGUUAAGCUUGUAAAAACAUCCAUGACAAUUGAAAACUCACUAUUCAUAAGCACAUGCUAUAAAGCUAAUGAGAAUUACUAAAAUGUUGAUACUGCUGUUUCUGUUCAUAUUCAGUUCAUUCAUAAUUGACAACUAUAACAGAAACUAAAAUCUUACCCUGAGGUCAAAGACCAAUUUUUCCCACAUAAAGAAACAGCCUUGUUGAUGCUAUUUGCAACUUUGGCCUGAAUCCCUAGUCUCUUGAGAUGGUAUCUAGUAACGGCUGCUCUAACAGGUUUUCCAUCAACCACAAUGGCUUUAAACCCUCUAAAACUGGAACGUAGAUCUUCCAAGUUAUGUUUCUUCAUGUCAGUUAUUGAAUUUUUCUUAAUUGUUCCAAAAUCUGCAGUAAAUGAAAACGUGCUCCCAACCUGGGGUCGGCUUAUAAAACUGAUCUCACCACCCAUCAGUUCAACCAGGCACUUGCUUAUACUCAAGCCAAUCCCAGUACCACCAUAAUGUCUUGAGGUUGAGCUGUCUGCCUGUACAAAUGGCAUGAAAAUCUUAUCUUGAGCUAUGAAAGGAAUUCCAUUCCCAGUGUCCUCCACACUCACCAUCAAGGUGACUUGCUCAUAGGAUUCACUGGCCACCUUUUUAACUGAAUCAUCAAAGAAAAAUUCUUCAUCGGCAAUCAGAUGCUUAAAAUUGUCCCAGCUGUUCCGUUCAUCAGCUGCUUCAUGUCCGCUUAGAGUUUUGAAAUUAUAACCACCGCUAGACACAUGCACAACUUCAUCUGAUCUUCCAUUGAGAAAAGUCUCCAUUUUCCCAUUCAUUGUGGACAUCCUAUUUUCAGCUAGAUGGACUUUUACCAAUAUAUGUCCUCGCUCAGUGAACUGCAAGAUUAUAAUCAGUAAUGUUACAGCAAAUUACCGUGUUAAUAAAUUACUUGUUACAAUAACGAUUCAAACAUCCUCCCUACAGUUAAAAAAUUGAACAAAGUUAUGCUAGAAACACAUUCCGAACACACAUACAUGUUAGUAAUGCAAAUAUGCACAUAACAUUAGAGAAGUUAACUUUGAAAAAUUCACUUACUUUAACUGAAUUGCCAACAAGGUUUGUUACUAUUUGUCUGAAUCUUCCAGGAUCUCCCAUGACAAUAUCUGGAACUUUAUCAGAAACAAAUACUGCCAGCUAUGGUUCCCAAAACCAUAUUAUGUCCAAGCCAGAAGAAUUGUGAAUAGGAACCCCAGUAGCCACAUUGCCACCGAAAGACAUACGAAAUGAGAUCAUUAGUUCAAUACAAAAAUAGAUUAUGAAAUUCUGCAACUCAUAAAGUUAAAUGACCUUCACAACAAUUUAGCAACUAGACAUACCUCUAAACCUUUGUGCCGAGACUUCUCAGAGAAAAGAGAAAGCACAUCAUCAAGUAUGGAUCGAAUGUCAAAUGGAACUGUUUCCAGCUCUAACUUGCCAGCUUCAAUUUUGGCACGGUCAAGCACCUCAUUUAUCAAUGCUAUCAGAGCCAUCCCACAUGCUUGAGCAGUCUGAGCAUAAUCUAGUUGAGUGGAACUCAAUUCUGUGCCUAGAAGCAGACCGAGCAUUCCUACAGUAACAUGGAGUUUGAAGAUAGCAUCACUAAUAGUAAUGAGAAAGUUGGUAAAAAAAGAAAUGUUACUUUUUAGGGGCAGAGAAAAUUCGGAUGUUACCUAAAAUGCCAUUCAUGGGUGUUCUGAUUUCAUGAGAAACAGUGGCUAGAAACUGAUAUUAUAGAAAAAUAAAAAAUAAAAACAAUUUUAGUGAUCAUGGAGCCAUAAAAGGAACUAAUAAACUGUGCUAACUUAAGCAAGGAAAAGAACCUGUGACUUGGCAAUAUCAGCUGAUUCUGCACGGACUUUUAGUUCUGCCAUUUUAUGAAAAUCAUCCUCUACUUUGACAAUACGAUUUCCAGCACUAUACAAAAUAUAACCCACUAAUAAAAGAAUCACAAAAAAUAAGAAUGCCGUGGUAAGUGCUAUCCAGUUUGUCGGUGCCUUCUGGUGAUACCUGUUUAAAAACUUGAUGAUAAGCAUCUGCUGACCAAACAUUUUACAAAAGGUACAACAGCCAGAGGCACCUACCUACAUAUCAUUUUAUGUUUCCUGUAUGGAUCUCCAAAAUCAAGCUUACUUUCAUGGAC
rnacentral:lncRNA from 1 species